rnacentral:rRNA from 1 species
UUACCUGGCUCACACGUGCUACAAUGGGAAGUACAACGAAGUCGCUAGACCGCGAGGUCAUGCAAAUCUCUUAAAGCUUCUCUCAGUUCGGAUUGCAGGCUGCAACUCGCCUGCAUGAAGCCGGAAUCGCUAGUAAUCGCGGAUCAGCACGCCGCGGUGAAUACGUUCCCGGGCCUUGUACACACCGCCCGUCACACCACGAGAGUUUGUAACACCCGAAGUCGGUGAGGUAACCUUUUUGGAGCCAGCCGCCUAAGGUGGGAUAGAUGAUUGGGGUGAAGUCGUAACAAGGUAGCCGUAUCGGAAGGUGCGGUUGGAUCACACUCUAAAUA